UGCACUGCAUCUCAGGUUAAUAUAACUCCCUCACGAGCGAUGGAGGAAAUUACGUUUCCUUUCGAGGCGUGUCACCGUGGUCAAAGCAUCUUUUUUUCUACGACCUUUGUCGCGUUCAAAACAACUGGGAACUCGGAUGUAUCCGUUUUCAGUGCGUCCAUGACAACUGGGAACUCGGAGAAUUUUUUUUUGCUCCGACUGGGUAAAAUCGUUUUCAACGGUCAUCCAACUCGGAAUUCCAAGGCGGAAAUUUGGGCGUCUUUCUAGAGUUCCGUCUUUCCGACUGACGUCCUGAUUUGACCCGUUUCAUACGAGCUACCAGUAGUCUAGAAAGCGCCAUACAUUCGGAGCUACGCUAGUGUACAAGUUUGUCGGUAAUAUUACAGCAACAAAGCCAUCGGGAUGCGGGGAGGCAAACUGCUACUGACUAUCACAUGAGUGAUCUUAUUUAACGGUAUUUCUCCGGUAUAGGCUAAGCGGUAGAGACUACUUUUUUUUAAAUAACAGACAAAAAUAUUAGACAAUAGGAUAAAUAUAUCAUAUUUUGCUGACUUGAAAAGUCAACACGCUUUCUGUCAGCAACAAUGGAAUUUAGUUUUAUAUUGCUUAUUCUCUUCACGUUUCUUACUAUUAUUCUGGUGACUACAUUGUUCAGUAACAACGAUACUACUGCCUCUGCCUCGUCCUCUGGCUCUGCUGCAUCCAAAGCAGAUCACUCAGGGGAGGAGGGCUCUUUGGCGCAGUCUGUGAGAGAGGAGGUAAAAGCCGGAUUAGUUAAAACAGGACCGUCGGUAAAUCUUACGGAGCAACAGGGGACAGUAGCAGGGCUAACCUCUACGAACAAACCGGAGGAGGACAGUCAACGCCGAUUCGUGGGGAAGAUAACGGACCCGGUGGCAGCAGACAGAAGGACAGUUGGGGAGGAGGGGCUGCACGCUGCUGAAGUUAGGAUCCAUGAUGCCACGAACGAGGGAAAUAUGAAAUCUGGCAUUAUGUCUGACCAACAGUGCUGGACCUCAAACCCUGCCUCAGCGGCGGUGGACAUUCAAGGAAGAGACUUUGGUCACCUACAGUUCCCUGAGGGGUGGUCAUUACUGUGUCCUUUCUCCCACCAACAGACAGGGGGCGCCACAGAGAGCCCGGAGGACAGCAACUGUGAAUAUGGAAGAAGUGGACGCAGAACAUGCGCCCAUGAAAUACGCCCCCCGGACCAGCCAGAUGAAGAAGAUGAUAACCAAAGAGGAGCUGGAGGAGGAACAGAGGGUAGAGUUCACCACUGACUUUACCUCUCUGUAAGACCCUCGGACAGACCGACAGACAUGCAGACAGACAGGGGUUGUAGUAAAAGCAUGGGUGCAACAGGAGCAGCUGGCAGCCAUCUUCCAGCUGCUGAAGGAGAACCAGGAGACGUUUGGGGAGGUGUCAGAGGGAGACGUGGAGGAGCAACUCAGACUCUACUCCAUCUAAACCCCUAGUCUACUACUUUCCCCAAACUCUACUCUAUGUUAAUCCCACAUAAAACCGACAAUCAAGAUUAAGGUGCAUUCACAUGGUCCCCUGGGUUUCAAAGGGGGUGUUGUUUCAAUGGUCCGCUCUAUUUUGAGGCACGUACUCUUCUCUAAAGAUUCUGAGGCGAUAGCUAAUCAGGCUUUGGAUAGUUGGACCUGAGUGAUUUGAUUGGUCUGAUACGAUCUAAGAUGUUCUUAUACCGUACACACCCAUGAAAGCCAACAGUUUCAGCAAGCCUCACAACAAACACUUAUCUGAACGUACCUUCCUCCUUUCAGCUAUUCCCUACCUUCCCUCGGCUGUAUCCUUCUCUCACCCUCUCCCUCUAGACCCCUGUGUUUAAAUAAACACAUCAUUGGCGCGAACACAAACAUGUACAUUAGAUACUCCAAUAUGGCUUCUGCUGUUUAUUACUUUUAUAUACCAUUCAAAGCAAUAAACACUGUGUAUUUGAUACAA